rnacentral:tRNA from 1 species
GAGGGUAUAGCUCAGUGGUAGAGUGCAUGCCUAGUAUGUACAAGGUCCUGGGUUCAGUCCCCAGUGCUGUCA